AUUACUUUGGCAGAAUAGUGUUUUAAAUUUAGAAUUUAAUUAUGUAUAGAUUGAUUUAUACAGGUAAUA
rnacentral:tRNA from 1 species